UACGUAGGGGCUAGCGUUGUCCGGAAUCAUUGGGCGUAAAGAGCGUGUAGGCGGCUCGGUAAGUCCGCUGUGAAAGUCGGGGGCUCAACCCUCGAAUGCCGGUGGAUACUGUCGAGCUAGAGUGCGGAAGAGGCGAGUGGAAUUCCUGGUGUAGCGGUGAAAUGCGCAGAUAUCAGGAGGAACACCGAUGCGAAGGCAGCUCGCUGGGACGUUACUGACGCUGAGACGCGAAAGCGUGGGGAGCAAACAGG
rnacentral:rRNA from 1 species